rnacentral:rRNA from 1 species
CGCAAGCCUGAUGCAGCAACGCCGCGUGAGGGACGACGGCCUUCGGGUUGUAAACCUCUUUUAGCAGGGAAGAAGCGAAAGUGACGGUACCUGCAGAAAAAGCACCGGCUAACUACGUGCCAGCAGCCGCGGUAAUACGUAGGGUGCAAGCGUUGUCCGGAAUUAUUGGGCGUAAAGAGCUCGUAGGCGGUUUGUCGCGUCUGCUGUGAAAACCCGAGGCUCAACCUCGGGCCUGCAGUGGGUACGGGCAGAUUAGAGUGCGGUAGGGGAGAUUGGAACACCUGGUGUAGCGGUGGAAUGCGCAGAUAUCAGGAGGAACACCGAUGGCGAAGGCAGAUCUCUGGGCCGUAACUGACGCUGAGGAGCGAAAGCGUGGGGAGCGAACAGGAUUAGAUACCCUGGUAGUCCACGCCGUAAACGUUGGGAACUAGAUGUAGGGACCAUUCCACGGUUUCUGUGUCGCAGCUAACGCAUUAAGUUCCCCGCCUGGGGAGUACGGUCGCAAGACUAAAACUCAAAGGAAUUGACGGCG